GAGGGGGAGACAAAGAGAUGAACCAAUGAGACAUCUCCAUUUUGCUGACAAAUAAGCCAAGUGCUUUAUCACUGUCAGAAGUUCUAUCAAUAGCAGAUGUGGGACAAAAGGGAGUGAUGGUAUCCAUAGCUGAACCCAUAACAAGCACCCCAUAACAGUUGUAACUUGUGAAAAGCAAUGUUGAGACAACACUGCAGGAUGCAGACUUUAAAUACCGCACUUUCCACUGGCCACCUAAACUGAGCCGAGCCUUCGGCGCUGUUCAUAUUUUCCUCACUGGCUCACAGCUGCCUCAGCUGAAACGUCACGCUGAAAAUCUUGUGUCAUAUUUGCUGGAACCAAACAGGGUCUGCCAUCUAUUCAUAACACACAAGCAUCUGAGUGUGCCUCACACGAACAAUAAACCAAUUAAAGGAAAACUGUCUUUUUUUAAAACCUAAUCUUUAACCACCACAUUUAUAGCAUAUGGGCAAUUACCAUGGACAAGAAUUCUGACACAUUUCCCUGUACUGCAGAAAGAAAGGAAAACGGGUUCCUCAAAACCCACCUAUAAUAGAAGUUUAGGAGCCUUUGUUGGGCAGUCAAUAAAUGAUUGUUUGGAACACAUUUUUGUAGAACUCCUUCAUGCAUUCUUCAAAUAUAUUUGUACAUUAAACUCUAAAUUUGUAUAAAUGGCUCUUUCAUGGAUAGCACUACUUUUUCAGAGGGAAGAAUUUGCUAUUAUGUGAGUAGGGGUGGACUAGUUAGUAAUCCACUAGCAAGACUAGCAGAUUUCAUGUCCUGGCUAUUAGGUUUAAUUCAUAUUUACUCAACAUGUAGGUUUAACACCUAGAAAAAACAACUCCUUAUUGACUUAUUUUGUAUGUAGAUAUGCAUCUUAAUGCACUUCAUAGUGGCACGUGCUUCUGAAUCCCACCACCUGCUGCAGCACACACAGUGGCCUGAAGAGCAUUCUGGAUGUCGGUAGAAGGGUUUUUUCCCUCCUUCCCCCUGCCGAUUUUCUCCCUUGGCCAGUUCCCACCCACCAGUCAGGUAUCCCGUAUCAUAAGACAGCUCUGGGGUUGUAUCAACUAUCACGUGCUUCCUGUGAUGCGUGUGAAGCCAGCCAACCACAUCUUUUCAAACAGCCGCUCAUGCAGUGUCACGGGAUGGGAUAAAACGGUAACACUUUACAGUACAUGAAUAAUCAUGCACUAAUACCUGAAUUAAUACUUAUUUAAAUUUGAACCACCUUUUAAGCCUAAACUGUUUCUGACAAGAACCAAAACAUGGGACUGGGCAGCACACUGGAGCUUUUACCUGCCUAGUGAGCUAGAUAAUUACAAUAAAAUAUGGUUUCUCCCCCGUAUAUGUAACAGCUGCCCUUAGAUAUCUAUAAUCAGUGAGUUUUAAGUGAGUCAACUGGAUAUCAGUUCUUUUUUCAGUACAAAAAAUGUAUCUUCCAUUCUUCUGCACUUAUACUACAGAUGUGGUACAUAGAUAUUAGCUUAUAAAUAUUUGGUAUAUUCAUUUGAAGAUCUAAAUACAUUAGUUAUUAGGUUUUUGUUCAUUAAGGAAUUUUUCAGCUGAUCACCUUUGGGUAUGACUCACAGCAUGUGAAGCGCCAUUUCCAAUCCUGCAUUUUAAUGUGGGUGUAGAUGCUCAUUUCCAAGUAGAUGCAGAACCAUGGCAGUAAUGAAGCUAAUGGCACUUGGGAACAGCAUAAUCACCUGAACUAAAUGUCCCAUUAGGACUAAUCAGCUGGUAUAAAUGUUCCAUUGGCAGAUGUCUGCUACUCAGUGCUAAAAACAGCUAGCUCAUUGGAGAGAUAGCUUUAAUUUUGCAGUAUGUUUUCUCACUGGUUCUUCUGAAGGUCCUCACUCCUGAUAUGAACAGUCUAUCUACAGCCCUGUGGUGGAUGUGUUUCUGUAAUGGAGUACAAAACUCAGUGGUCCAUGGGAGCACUCAGUUAGUUGCCUAUUUCUCCACAUGCACUAAUAUGACAACAUGUAAAAACCUGAUGUUCUUGCCUGGCUGAUCUGAGUACUGAGAAACGAUCUUGCACAGUGAAAACACACACAGUGUUCCAUCAGUCUGAGUGAUGAAAACAAUAUCCUGAUACUGGGAAUGAGAUUUGACCUCAGACACCAGACUUGGAAAACUUCAGAACAUAAAGUGCUUAUUCCUAAGGGUUCUGAGCUUCUGACCAGCAUGUUUUUCUAGGUCAUGAUUUAUGGAGGCCAGUGAGGGGUUUUGUUGAUGCUAAUUGUGACAGGGAUCUUGUGGUCGGAACCCUCAGAGGAAGCAAAAAGGAGCAGCAAGUAAAACUUCUGACUGGGGGAAGAAAAUUUACCCACAGUUAACAUCCAUCAGGAAACAAUCACAGGAUUCAUAUUGCUCUCAGGAAUUUUAGGAGAACCAGUUGACAGUUGAUAUAUAAUGCAGCACAAGUGAGAAUCCUGAUUAAAUCCCCUGAGAUACCAAAAAGAAACAAAGCAAAGAAAUGUUUAAGCAAAGAAAUGUUCUCCUGGGCGAGGAGACUCUCUCAACAACACUGCCAUUCUCUGUAGGAGUAUUAAAAGUGGACCCUGGAGCUGUUGAGUCUGACGAGUUGCGAGUUCUUUCCAUGCCUGCUUGCCUGUUUGGCCAGACCAUGGCACUCUUUUGGGAGCAGGUUUUAAGCCAUCGUGUGGAGAUGAUGAAAACAGAAAUGGCUGAGGCAGAGGAAGAAAACCAUGUAGGUGUGUGGUCUGUAAGAUAUAUGACCUUUGAAGCAAUAGAGCGCAGACAGAAGGUCGCUGUUCAAGCAUCAGAGUGGGUCACAGUUGAGUUCACUACAUGCUUUAAGUAAAUGGAGGGUUCUUCAUCGUCAUGCUACUUCCAAUGCUUACUUCACUUACUGCCAUUGCUGUUGGAAAUAUAAAGGUUUCUGCACUGUUAUGGCUCUGUGAAUAACCACUCUUCACUAUGGCAUAAAGACAAAUCUUUUUUCUGCAGUACCAAGAACAUGCCAUUUUAAUCUAUCAAAAAAAAAUGUUGAAUAAUACUGUUUGUUUUUUAAUGCUAAGAAACUUCUAAAAAUGACCCAGAGACACCUUUUCACCUUUACCCUCAUAAAAAUGUCAGGGUCUUUCAAUGUUUUCCUGCUGUCUUGACCCCCAAAUAUGGUUACGCUAUGGUAUUAGCUACAUUUUCACAAAAAGGCAAGAGGUUGCACAUGAAGUUCAGAAUGACCCUGAGUCUGAAGAGACUAUUGUUGACCUCAUGAAGUACUUCAUGAAUUAUUGAUGUAUCAGGAUGGUAAGUUCAUCUGGACUUGCAUUUACAGACCUUGCAUUCUGUGAUGGUACAUUUUGUGACUGGCUACUUAACUACUAAAGAACAGCUUGUAUGUGUCACAGUUUGACACAACUGCAUCUCAGGUUGCAUUGUCAUGUUUUCAGCAAAUCCUGCCAAAAUGUAAUAUUAUACCUCUUGAAAAAUAGAUAAAUGUUUAGUAAAAUAUUUAGUCAGAGUCCACCAUCCAAGAUGCAGGAAUACUUUAGAUGUUUCAACUAGGAUCCACUAUUAACAGUUUGCUUUAGACUGUGUGCGCAUAUGUCUUUUUCUACA